AGUGAACGCUGGCGGUAGGCCUAACACAUGCAAGUCGAACGGCAGCACAGUAAGAGCUUGCUCUUACGGGUGGCGAGUGGCGGACGGGUGAGGAAUACAUCGGAAUCUACUUUUUCGUGGGGGAUAACGUAGGGAAACUUACGCUAAUACCGCAUACGACCUACGGGUGAAAGCAGGGGAUCUUCGGACCUUGCGCGAUUGAAUGAGCCGAUGUCGGAUUAGCUAGUUGGCGGGGUAAAGGCCCACCAAGGCGACGAUCCGUAGCUGGUCUGAGAGGAUGAUCAGCCAAACUGGAACUGAGACACGGUCCAGACUCCUACGGGAGGCAGCAGUGGGGAAUAUUGGACAAUGGGCGCAAGCCUGAUCCAGCCAUACCGCGUGGGUGAAGAAGGCCUUCGGGUUGUAAAGCCCUUUUGUUGGGAAAGAAAAGCAGCAGGUUAAUACCCCGCUGUUCUGACGGUACCCAAAGAAUAAGCACCGGCGAACUUCGU
rnacentral:rRNA from 1 species